GGGGGUGCUGUCGUUGUGGUGUAAGCAAGGAAGUCUGUAAAACUUUCGCCUCUGGCUAAGACGAGUUCGAAUCUCUCCACCCCCA
rnacentral:tRNA from 1 species